CUUACAGCCACAGGUCCUGGGAGCACAGCGUCAGGAGGGGCGAGAUGCCGGACUGGUGGGCUGGUGUUUCGAGGGUCCCAGGGUCGGCAGGGCCAGGCCAUCCCCAGGACGGACGGCACAGGUCUGGAGCUCUGUGUCCACCGCUCUGGGCGCCUGGCACCAGGGAAACCCCUAACACCCACCCUCACGGGGAGGGGGCUCCAUAAUAGAGAGGGAAGACCUUCCUCCUCUGCAGCCUGAUGUGCUUGCGGCAGGAAUCCCGAGGGUCCCACAGGCUUCUAGGAGUUGCCGGCCUCGGUUCUCCAUCGACGACACACUAGGCUGAGUCCAGUAAAUGUCUACUCCCCGUGGCCCCUAGGGACUGAAGACCUGGGUAAUGCAGAAUGUGGCGAGGCACUGGACUGCGCCUGCCUCCGAGGACCGAGGACCCUCCCUCCCUGCCGGAGCCUCAGGUGGAAGUGGGCGGAGUCCCUGCCCUGGAGGGGCUGAAUCAUUGUUUAUAUGGAAAUACGCCUGAUUUUUGAGUGUUAAUUGUGUAUCCUGCAACUUGGCUGAAUCCUGUUUUAGUUUUGACAGUUUUCUGGAUUUUUCUACUUAAGUGAUGUCAUCUAUGAACACAGAUCAUUUUACUUCUUCCUUUCUAGUUUAGACGCCUCCUACUUUCUUUCAUUGCCUCACUGCUUUGCCUAGGACUUAAGAUACUAGAUUGAACAGAAAUAGCAAGAGUGGGCGGCCUUGCCUUGUUCCUGACCUGACCGCGGAGGAUGACAUUAGACACGAGCUUUUCAUAAGAGGCCUUUAUUACGUUGAUCUUUAUGAUGGAAGAGGUUGAACCUUGUCACGUGCUAUUCCUGCCUCGGCUGGGACAAGCACGGAGCUUCCUCCCACGCUCCAUCCACACACACUGCACAUUUUUGCGGACGAGCUCUCCUACGUUUGGCUUCGUUUGCUGUGCUCAGACCUGCGCAGCAUCCGUAUGGGGGCCCCUGGGCUGAACUGACACUUUGUCGUACUCUGGUUUGCAUCACGACCCCACUGCCUCACUCACUGUAGCUGAACAAAAAGUCUGAGUAUCUGG